AGAGUUAAAUAGUACGUGAAAUUGCUAAAAGGGAAACGAUUGACGUCAGUAGUGGCGGUCAGAAAUCAGCGAUCAGCUCUGGCUGGUGGUGCACUUUCUGUCCGGCGCGUCAACAUCAGUUUCUGGCGGUGGAGAAAAGGCGUCGGAAGGUGGCUCGCUUCGGUGAGUGUUAUAGCCGACGCCCGAUACACUGCUGGAGACUGAGGAUUGCGGCGUGUGCCCUCGGGCUGGUUUGACUGGUGUCUGUGUGCGAUGCGGGUUUGGACAGCGUGCUGACCAAAGCCGUACUCGUGCCCAUGCGCCAGCUCAUCACACACACGCCUCGGAUGUUGACGAAAUGACGUUAAACGACC
rnacentral:ncRNA from 2 species